rnacentral:lncRNA from 1 species
CUUCCUGUGAACUUUAGUUUAAACCUUAAGCCACCGUUUGGUUCGGGGUUAAGAAAAAGUAGCUAUUCCAUGGAUAGGGUUAAGUUUAGGGAUAAAAUGGUGUUAAAAUUUUUUUUGUGUUUGGUUGGAGGUUGGAGUUAGUCUAGGAUAGUGAAAAAAAGUAUUUGGUUGGAGUAGGUGGGAUAAGAAGAUAAUGAUUGAUUAAGAAGAAAAAGGUGAGGGCUCGGGAUGCGUGCGGGGUUAAAGUUGGGAGGGGGAGUGGGGUUAAUGAUUGAUAAAGAAGAAAAAGGUGAGGGCUCGGGAUGCGUGCGGGGUUAAAGUUGGGAGGAGGAGUGGGGUUAGUAAA